ensembl:lncRNA
AAUAGUUGAAGAAAGAAUUGCCCCACCGCCCAGAGACCAAGAGGCACCUCCUUGUCUGCCCAUAGAUCCAAUACUGGAAUUCUUGGAAUGGUUUCAAUGGGCCAGUUGAAUGCGACCUGACAUCGUCGAGGAACGUCCCGCCGAAGCCCCUCCAGCUAACCCCUCGCUCUGAGAACGCGUCGUGUCCGAUUCAGAAGCGGAUCCAGCGGGCGAAUGAGGCGAUCACUCAGACGCCGGGAGAGGAGAAGGUGCUUCAGCUGCGUGGAGCCGUCAUUUCGGAUCACGCCGAGAGUCUGGUCGUUGCUGUAAGACGAGCUGAAGGAAAGCUAAUAAGCCUCAUUGUGCCCAGAAGAAGCAAAGAGGGACUGACUGCACUGCUGCAUUACUGAGCACAGCGUCCUAAAGGAGGUAGAAGGAAGUCAGAAGCUUUAAGAGUGGACUCCAAGAGCAAUACAUGUUGAAUUUGAGAGUUUACAUUGAAAAAUAGUCUGAGAUUAUU